rnacentral:rRNA from 1 species
AGUGAACGCUGGCGGUAGGCCUAACACAUGCAAGUCGAACGGCAGCACAGUAAGAGCUUGCUCUUCCGGGUGGCGAGUGGCGGACGGGUGAGGAAUACAUCCGAAUCUACUUUUUCGUGGGGGAUAACGUAGGGAAACUUACGCUAGUACCGCAUACGACCUACGGGUGAAAGCAGGGGAUCUUCGGACCUUGCGCGAUUGAAUGAGCCGAUGUCGGAUUAGCUAGUUGGCGGGGUAAAGGCCAACCAAGGCGCGGAUCCGUAGCUGGACUGAGAGGAUGAUCAGCCACACUGGAACCGAGCCACCGACCAUACUACUACGGGAGGCAGCAGUCGGGUAUAUGGGACAAUGGGCGCAAGCCUGGCCCAGCCAGACCGCGUCGGUUAAGACGGCCUUCGGGUUGUAAAGCCCGUUUGUUGGGAAAGAAAAGCUUCCGGUUAAUACCCCGCUGUUCUGACGGUACCCAAAGAAUAAGCACCGGCUAACUUCGUG